rnacentral:rRNA from 1 species
AUGAAUGUCGACGCGGCAGUGUCUAUGGAAGAGGAGUGUGGUGCAGUGGGAGUGGUGUGCCAAGACCACAAUGGAAGUUUGGUGGGUGCUUCGGCUCUAAAACUCGAGUUCAUCACGGAACCAAGCACACUAGAGGCGAUAGCUGUACGGGAAGGUCAAGCUCUGGCUGAGGAUUUAUAUGAAAAUAAAAUCCAGAUUGUAACGGAUUGCAAGAGGGUGGUGGAUGAUGUUCAGAAGAACUCGGCGGCUGGAUAUGGAGCUAUAGUGCAUUAA